rnacentral:rRNA from 1 species
GAUGAACGCUGGCGGCGUGCCUAAUACAUGCAAGUCGAGCGAACAGAUGAGGAGCUUGCUCCUCUGACGUUAGCGGCGGACGGGUGAGUAACACGUGGAUAACCUACCUAUAAGACUGGGAUAACUUCGGGAAACCGGAGCUAAUACCGGAUAAUAUAUUGAACCGCAUGGUUCAAUAGUGAAAGACGGUUUUGCUGUCACUUAUAGAUGGAUCCGCGCCGCAUUAGCUAGUUGGUAAGGUAACGGCUUACCAAGGCAACGAUGCGUAGCCGACCUGAGAGGGGGAUGGGCCACACUGGAAAUGAGACACGGCCCAGACUCCUACGGGAGGCAGCAGUAGGGAAUCUUCCGCAAUGGGCGAAAGCCUGACGGAGCAACGCCGCGGGAGUGAUGAAGGUUUGCGGAUCGUAAAACUCUGUUAUUAGGGAAAAAAAAAUGUGUAAGUAACUAUGCACGUUUGGACGGUACCUAAACAGAAAGCCACGGCUAACUACGU